rnacentral:rRNA from 1 species
UACGUAGGGAGCAAGCGUUGUUCGGAUUUACUGGGCGUAAAGGGCGCGUAGGCGGCGCGACAAGUCACUUGUGAAAUCUCCGGGCUUAACUCGGAACGGUCAAGUGAAACUGUCAUGCUAGAGUGCAGAAGGGGCAAUCGGAAUUCUUGGUGUAGCGGUGAAAUGCGUAGAUAUCUGGAGGAACACCGGUGGCGAAGGCGACAUCCUGGACCGGUAUUGACGCUGAGGCGCGAAAGCCAGGGGAGCAAACGGG